GUUAUUGAUUAUUGCAAAAAUAUUUAUUAACUAAGCUAUAAUAAGUUUGUGUUAACAACCGUUUAGUGAUUAUUUGCGUGCGGUUCGGUAGCCUAUUAGAAAAUUACUGACAAUUAAUUCCAGCUGUGGCUCGUGCCAUUAAAUAAAGAAGUGCACAGGCAUCGUUUCGCAACUUAUGUUGCCGUAUUUAAUUAUUAUUAUUUAUUUUUUAUACGUAGCCUAUUUCGAUUAUGCGUUCGUUCGUGCGCGCAUAAUUAAAGGCAAACAAAACACCAAAACUUAUGAGACGUUAUUAGCUACAGUUAAAUAGUCUUUAUCCAAGAUGAAUACAUGCGUCCAUUUCCCAGUACUUUGUAUUUUAUUGUUGGUUUUUCAGGAUGUUUUCUGUAGCGAAUUUGUCAAGAGGAAACACGCUCUAUCGAUGUUUGAUUUUCACGACGAUCUUUCAAGUGGUGAUAUCUUCAAGUCGUUUUGGCUAAACUCAAAACAGCGAAGAAGUGUGAAACUAGGAGAUGGACAACUACAGACACGAAAAACCAAACCACGAUUUGAAUGCGGCGACCGGGUCUUAACACUUCUUCUAAAACAUAUCGAUGUGACAAAUAUCCGAUUUUAUGGACCACGAGGAGACCUGCUUCACUUGGACCAUUUGGCAGCAUUUUGUGGUGUUUCCAUCAGAAAUAAAAACACUGAUGUUCACCUGCUGAUCAACUAUGAUUCCUGUUAUAUGAGACGAGAGGCAA